UACGUAGGGUGCAAGCGUUGUCCGGAAUUAUUGGGCGUAAAGAGCUCGUAGGCGGUUUGUCGCGUCUGCUGUGAAAACGCGAGGCUCAACCUCGCGCCUGCAGUGGGUACGGGCAGACUAGAGUGUGGUAGGGGAGAUUGGAAUUCCUGGUGUAGCGGUGGAAUGCGCAGAUAUCAGGAGGAACACCGAUGGCGAAGGCAGAUCUCUGGGCCAUUACUGACGCUGAGGAGCGAAAGCGUGGGGAGCGAACAG
rnacentral:rRNA from 1 species